CCUACGGGUGGCUGCAGUGGGGAAUAUUGCACAAUGGGCGCAAGCCUGAUGCAGCCAUGCCGCGUGUGUGAAGAAGGCCUUCGGGUUGUAAAGCACUUUCAGCGGGGAGGAAGGCGGUGAGGUUAAUAACCUCAUCGAUUGACGUUACCCGCAGAAGAAGCACCGGCUAACUCCGUGCCAGCAGCCGCGGUAAUACGGAGGGUGCAAGCGUUAAUCGGAAUUACUGGGCGUAAAGCGCACGCAGGCGGUCUGUCAAGUCGGAUGUGAAAUCCCCGGGCGCAACCUGGGAACUGCAUUCGAAACUGGCAGGCUAGAGUCUUGUAGAGGGGGGUAGAAUUCCAGGUGUAGCGGUGAAAUGCGUAGAGAUCUGGAGGAAUACCGGUGGCGAAGGCGGCCCCCUGGACAAAGACUGACGCUCAGGUGCGAAAGCGUGGGGAGCAAACAGGAUUAGAUACCCCGGUAGUC
rnacentral:rRNA from 1 species